AGAAUGAUGAUACCAUAGUAGGCUCAUAAUGGGACCCCCCAAAAAAUCCGAAAAAGUCUUGCAUGAGGCUGAAUGGAAUUUGAACAUCGUUAUCUGAUUGCCUUUCACCUUCGAUAUUAGCUGUAGGCUAAUCUAUCUGUUUUCGGAAGAAUUGGCUAGAAAAAGGAAGCACUAGAAAGGUUUUGAAGAAAUACCCCUGAUGACGUCAGACUCACAGGGAUAUAAAUUCGCUGGCUUCUCUUAGUUGAUUCAGUCUUAGCAGCCGCAGAAACGUGAUCAAGAUGACUAAAUUUGUUCAGGUCUUUAUUGGAGUCGUUAUGCUUGCAAUGCUCUUUUCGUGUCAGGUCCAUGCAGAGAAUGUGACCACAAUUGCCCCGAUGGCCAACCGAACUAGCGCAGGCACAACUUUCAAUACGACUACCAACGUCGCUAGCAUGGGCAAUAGCACUGUGAAAGGUGAUGGCUUGUCCUUGCGGUCAAGCGCUUUCACGCUACUCAUCCCAGUCAUCCUGGCAGGCUCUGUACUGCACGGUCGGUUCUAAAAACCGGAGGGACAUCAACGCUAAACGGAGACCGCCCAGACUACAUCAGCUUUAAAAGUGGACAUGCAAUACUUAAAUGGGGCGACAUUUUCCAGAUUUAAAGCCAAUCUCCGUUCCCGACUUGGUCUUAUUUGGAGGGAAAGGUGCAUGCCAAUUCCUUUAGCGACACCCAUGCUCAUCACAUUCCUUAUCACCCCAGGGCCAAGUUUUGGAACUGGGCCUUUGAAUUACGCGCCUCGCGAUGCAAGGAUAUAGCCCACUGUACACCCAAGAUCUGGCUUGUUUUUGCCUCACUGUUUUCGUCACGGGUCUUUUAGGACUAAUUUGUAAUUUAAGAAACGUAAAUAUUUGUGCCCGGGAGGCGCUUUGUGGGGACUUUCCUUAAGGUGCGCUUCUAUUUUACGCAAUGGAUCUUUGUUAAUAUGGCUACUUGAUAGGCUAGGCUACUUGUCGACUUGUGAAUAGUAAAUGUCCCUAAUCCGUGUUUUUUUUUAAUUGUGUGACAGUGACUUACACUCUGCUAGAUUUUUGUAUUCUGGUUCAAUGCUUUCUUGUGACAAAUUUCAAAUUAAUAAAUCGUGAAAUAAC